rnacentral:rRNA from 1 species
AGAUUGAACGCUGGCGGCAGGCCUAACACAUGCAAGUCGAGCGGCAGCACGGGUACUUGUACCUGGUGGCGAGCGGCGGACGGGUGAGUAAUGCCUAGGAAUCUGCCUGGUAGUGGGGGAUAACGCUCGGAAACGGACGCUAAUACCGCAUACGUCCUACGGGA